rnacentral:rRNA from 1 species
CAUGAGUUAUGUCAUGUUAUCGAUAUGUGAAUACAUAGCAUAUCAGAAGGCACACCCGGAGAACUGAAACAUCUUAGUACCCGGAGGAAGAGAAAGAAAAUUCGAUUCCCUUAGUAGCGGCGAGCGAAACGGGAAGAGCCCAAACCAACAAGCUUGCUUGUUGGGGUUGUAGGACACUCUAUACGGAGUUACAAAGGACGACAUUAGACGAAUCAUCUGGAAAGAUGAAUCAAAGAAGGUAAUAAUCCUGUAGUCGAAAAUGUUGUCUCUCUUGAGUGGAUCCUGAGUACGACGGAGCACGUGAAAUUCCGUCGGAAUCUGGGAGGACCAUCUCCUAAGGCUAAAUACUCUCUAGUGACCGAUAGUGAACCAGUACCGUGAGGGAAAGGUGAAAAGCACCCCGGAAGGGGAGUGAAAUAGAACCUGAAACCGUGUGCUUACAAGUAGUCAGAGCCCGUUAAUGGGUGAUGGCGUGCCUUUUGUAGAAUGAACCGGCGAGUUACGAUUUGAUGCAAGGUUAAGCAGUAAAUGUGGAGCCGUAGCGAAAGCGAGUCUGAAUAGGGCGUUUAGUAUUUGGUCGUAGACCCGAAACCAGGUGAUCUACCCUUGGUCAGGUUGAAGUUCAGGUAACACUGAAUGGAGGACCGAACCGACUUACGUUGAAAAGUGAGCGGAUGAACUGAGGGUAGCGGAGAAAUUCCAAUCGAACCUGGAGAUAGCUGGUUCUCUCCGAAAUAGCUUUAGGGCUAGCCUCAAGUGAUGAUUAUUGGAGGUAGAGCACUGUUUGGACGAGGGGCCCCUCUCGGGUUACCGAAUUCAGACAAACUCCGAAUGCCAAUUAAUUUAACUUGGGAGUCAGAACAUGGGUGAUAAGGUCCGUGUUCGAAAGGGAAACAGCCCAGACCACCAGCUAAGGUCCCAAAAUAUAUGUUAAGUGGAAAAGGAUGUGGCGUUGCCCAGACAACUAGGAUGUUGGCUUAGAAGCAGCCAUCAUUUAAAGAGUGCGUAAUAGCUCACUAGUCGAGUGACACUGCGCCGAAAAUGUACCGGGGCUAAACAUAUUACCGAAGCUGUGGAUUGUCCUUUGGACAAUGGUAGGAGAGCGUUCUAAGGGCGUUGAAGCAUGAUCGUAAGGACAUGUGGAGCGCUUAGAAGUGAGAAUGCCGGUGUGAGUAGCGAAAGACGGGUGAGAAUCCCGUCCACCGAUUGACUAAGGUUUCCAGAGGAAGGCUCGUCCGCUCUGGGUUAGUCGGGUCCUAAGCUGAGGCCGACAGGCGUAGGCGAUGGAUAACAGGUUGAUAUUCCUGUACCACCUAUAAUCGUUUUAAUCGAUGGGGGGACGCAGUAGGAUAGGCGAAGCGUGCGAUUGGAUUGCACGUCUAAGCAGUAAGGCUGAGUAUUAGGCAAAUCCGGUACUCGUUAAGGCUGAGCUGUGAUGGGGAGAAGACAUUGUGUCUUCGAGUCGUUGAUUUCACACUGCCGAGAAAAGCCUCUAGAUAGAAAAUAGGUGCCCGUACCGCAAACCGACACAGGUAGUCAAGAUGAGAAUUCUAAGGUGAGCGAGCGAACUCUCGUUAAGGAACUCGGCAAAAUGACCCCGUAACUUCGGGAGAAGGGGUGCUCUUUAGGGUUAACGCCCAGAAGAGCCGCAGUGAAUAGGCCCAAGCGACUGUUUAUCAAAAACACAGGUCUCUGCUAAACCGUAAGGUGAUGUAUAGGGGCUGACGCCUGCCCGGUGCUGGAAGGUUAAGAGGAGUGGUUAGCUUCUGCGAAGCUACGAAUCGAAGCCCCAGUAAACGGCGGCCGUAACUAUAACGGUCCUAAGGUAGCGAAAUUCCUUGUCGGGUAAGUUCCGACCCGCACGAAAGGCGUAACGAUUUGGGCACUGUCUCAACGAGAGACUCGGUGAAAUCAUAGUACCUGUGAAGAUGCAGGUUACCCGCGACAGGACGGAAAGACCCCGUGGAGCUUUACUGUAGCCUGAUAUUGAAAUUCGGCACAGCUUGUACAGGAUAGGUAGGAGCCUUUGAAACGUGAGCGCUAGCUUACGUGGAGGCGCUGGUGGGAUACUACCCUAGCUGUGUUGGCUUUCUAACCCGCACCACUUAUCGUGGUGGGAGACAGUGUCAGGCGGGCAGUUUGACUGGGGCGGUCGCCUCCUAAAAGGUAACGGAGGCGCUCAAAGGUUCCCUCAGAAUGGUUGGAAAUCAUUCAUAGAGUGUAAAGGCAUAAGGGAGCUUGACUGCGAGACCUACAAGUCGAGCAGGGUCGAAAGACGGACUUAGUGAUCCGGUGGUUCCGCAUGGAAGGGCCAUCGCUCAACGGAUAAAAGCUACCCCGGGGAUAACAGGCUUAUCUCCCCCAAGAGUUCACAUCGACGGGGAGGUUUGGCACCUCGAUGUCGGCUCAUCGCAUCCUGGGGCUGUAGUCGGUCCCAAGGGUUGGGCUGUUCGCCCAUUAAAGCGGUACGCGAGCUGGGUUCAGAACGUCGUGAGACAGUUCGGUCCCUAUCCGUCGUGGGCGUAGGAAAUUUGAGAGGAGCUGUCCUUAGUACGAGAGGACCGGGAUGGACAUACCUCUGGUGUACCAGUUGUCGUGCCAACGGCAUAGCUGGGUAGCUAUGUGUGGACGGGAUAAGUGCUGAAAGCAUCUAAGCAUGAAGCCCCCCUCAAGAUGAGAUUUCCCAACUUCGGUUAUAAGAUCCCUCAAAGAUGAUGAGGUUAAUAGGUUCGAGGUGGAAGCAUGGUGACAUGUGGAGCUGACGAAUACUAAUCGAUCGAAGACUUAAUCAA